rnacentral:snRNA from 1 species
AUACUUACCUGGCAGGGGAAAUUCCAUGAUCACGAAAGUGGUUUUCCCAGGUCGAGGCUUAGCUAUUGCACUCCAGAUGUGCUGACCCCUGCGAUUUCCCCAAAUGUGGGAAACUUGAAUGCAUAAUUUGUGGUAGUGGGGGGACUGCAUUCACACACACACACA